GGGUCAGUAGGUUGGUCGUGCCACCGUUACGUACGGGUCUCACUGAUUCCUCCUUCCUGAAGAACCGUAAUGCCAUUAAUUUGGUGUUGCGGGGAAACAGGACUGUUACUUUGAAAAAAUUAGAGUGUUUAAAGCAAGCUAACGCUUGAAUACAUUAGCAUGGAAUAAUGAAUUAGGACGAUCGAUCCUUUUUUGUUGGUUUCUAGGAUUGACGUAAUGAUUAAUAGGUAUUUUUGGG
rnacentral:rRNA from 1 species